GAAGAUGGAGAGAAAACAACUCAGAAAAAUUGUGCUGAGGUAUUUAGACGACGCAGAUGGGGACAGCCCCCCAAUCUGUCUUCUCUUCAAAACUCUGACCUUUAGUGUGUACGUGGAUGCUUAGAACAUGCAGAAAAUUGAGCAGAAAAGAAGCAAAGUCACAAAGUGAUUGGAGGACCUGCUCUUAACACAAUUUUAGAAGUCUUGAAAAUCAGCCACUGACAUGAAUGAAUAAAUGGAUGAGCUGAACAACGCUGGGAGGAGAAGAGGACAACCAAAUCCCUCCAUGUGCACCAGGGAAUUAAAUGAAUCUCGACCUCAGCA